GCUGGCAUAGCUCAAUCGGUAGAGCAGGAGUUUUGUAAACUUCAGGUUGGAGGUUCGACUCCUCUUGUCAGCUCCA
rnacentral:tRNA from 1 species